rnacentral:rRNA from 1 species
UGCAGUCGAGCGCCGUACUCAUCGGAGCGGCAGACGGGAGAGUAACACGUGGGAACGUACCCUUUGGUUCGGAACAACCCAGGGAAACUUGGGCUAAUACCGGAUAAGCCCUCACGGGGAAAGAUUCAUCGCCGAAAGAUUGGCCCGCGUCUGAUUAGCUAGUUGGUGAGGUAACGGCUCACCAAGGCGACGAUCAGUAGCUGGUCUGAGAGGAUGAUCAGCCACAUUGGGACUGAGACACGGCCCAAACUCCUACGGGAGGCAGCAGUGGG